rnacentral:rRNA from 1 species
UACGUAGGGUGCGAGCGUUAAUCGGAAUUACUGGGCGUAAAGUGUGCGCAGGCGGCCGAGCAAGUCGAGUGUGAAAGCCCCGAGCUUAACUUGGGAGCUGCGCUCGAAACUACUUGGCUAGAGUGUGGCAGAGGGAGGUGGAAUUCCACGUGUAGCGGUGAAAUGCGUAGAGAUGUGGAGGAACACCGAUGGCGAAGGCAGCCUCCUGGGCCAACACUGACGCUCAUGCACGAAAGCGUGGGGAGCAAACAGG